CCUACGGGGGGCUGCAGUGGGGAAUAUUGCACAAUGGAGGGAACUCUGAUGCAGCGACGCCGCGUGAGUGAAGAAGGUUUUCGGAUCGUAAAACUCUGUCCUUGGUGAAGAUAAUGACGGUAGCCAAGGAGGAAGCCCCGGCUAACUACGUGCCAGCAGCCGCGGUAAUACGUAGGGGGCGAGCGUUGUCCGGAUUUACUGGGCGUAAAGGGUGAGUAGGCGGUAAUAUGUGUCAGAUGUAAAAGGCUAUGGCUUAACUAUAGUUAGCAUUUGAAACUGUAUUACUUGAGUGCAGGAGAGGUAAGCGGAAUUCCUAGUGUAGCGGUGAAAUGCGUAGAUAUUAGGAGGAACACCAGUGGCGAAGGCGGCUUACUGGACUGUAACUGACGCUGAGUCACGAAAGCGUGGGUAGCAAACAGGAUUAGAUACCCCAGUAGUC
rnacentral:rRNA from 1 species